GAUGAACGCUGGCGGCGUGCCUAAUACAUGCAAGUCGAGCGAGCGGACGAGAAGCUUGCUUCUCUGCUGAUAGCGGUGGACGGGUGAGUAACACGUGGAUUAACUACCUAUUAGACUGGGAUAACUUCGGGAAACCGGAGCUAAUACCGGAUAAUAUUUUGAACCGCAUGGUUCAACAGUGAAAUACGGUCUUGCAGUCACUUAUAGAUUGAUCCGCGCUGCCUUAGCUAGUUGGUAAGGUAACGGCUUCCCAAGGCAAAGAGGGAUAGCCGACCUGAGAGCGUGAUCGGCCAGCCGAGAACAGAGACACGGUCCAGACACCUACACUAGGCAGCAGUAGGGAAUCUUACGCGAUGGGCGAGAGCCGAACGGUGCAAAGUCGCGUGAGUGAUGAUGGUCUGCGGAUCCGAGAGCUCUGUUAUUAGGGAAUAACAUAUGUGUAAGUAGCUGUGCACAUCUUGACGGUACCUAAUCAGAAAGCCACGGCUAACUACGUG
rnacentral:rRNA from 1 species